rnacentral:lncRNA from 1 species
AGAAAUAAGAGUGCAUAUCCCACUACCCUUUUUGCCUUAAGAAAAAAUUGUUGCUAAACCUUCAUAACAAGAUACAAGAAAUGAGUUAUAUAAUAAAAGUGGUUCAUUACUACAAGAAGAUGUCAUCAUUGAAAAUAUUGUAGAAGAACCUCAAUUAAUGCCUUUGAAAAGAUCUCAAAGGGAAAGGAAGUAGGUCAUAUCAAAUG